rnacentral:rRNA from 1 species
UACGGAGGGUGCAAGCGUUGCUCGGAAUUAUUGGGCGUAAAGGGUAGGUAGGUGGUCUCAUUUGUCUGAGGUGAAAGCCUUGAGCUUAACUCAAGAAGUGCCUUAGAAACGGUGAGACUGGAGUCCUGGAGAGGGUCGUGGAAUUCCCGGUGUAGCGGUGAAAUGCGUAGAGAUCGGGAGGAACACCAGAGGCGAAAGCGGCGACCUGGACAGGCACUGACACUCAACUACGAAAGCGUGGGGAGCAAACAGG